rnacentral:rRNA from 1 species
GCACGGCUGAGGAACACGUGACUAACCUACCCCGGUGUGGGGGAUAACGGGUCGAAAGACUCGCUAAUCCCGCAUACGAUCCGCCUCGGCGGAGGAAAGCCGUAAGGCGCACUGGGCGGGGGUCGCGUCCCAUUAGAUAGUUGGUGUGGUAAUGGCGCACCAAGUCGAUGAUGGGUCUCUGGUCUGAGAGGACGACCAGACAGAUUGGGACUGAGACACGGCCCAAACUCCUACGGGGGGCAGCAGCAAGGAAUUUUCGGCAAUGGGCGCAAGCCUGACCGAGCAACGCCGCGUGGAGGAUGACGGCUCUUGGGUUGUAAACUCCUUUUGGGGGGGACGAUAAUGACGGUACCCUCCGAAUCAGGCCCGGCUAACUACGUGCCAGCAGCCGCGGUAAUACGUAGGGGCCAAGCGUUGUCCGGAAUUACUGGGCGUAAAGCGUGGGUAGGUGGUCGGUGAUGUGCCGCGUGAAAGCGCCGGAGUAAUGCCGGCGAGGUCGCGGUAGACACACGGACUCGAGGCUCGCAGAGGAACGUGGAAUUCCCGGUGUAGUGGUGAAAUGCGUAGAUAUCGGGAGGAACACCAGUGGCGCAAGCGGCGUUCUGGGCGAGACCUGACACUGAGCCACGACGGCGUGGGGAGCAAACAGGAUUAGAUACCCUGGUAGUCCACGCAGUAAACGAUGCAUACCAGGUGUGGGAUGGCGUUCGCGUCGUUCCGUGCCGCAGCUUACGCGAUGAGUAUGCCGCCUGGGGACUACGAGCGCAAGCUUAAAACUCAAAGGAAUUGACGGGGGCCCGCACAAGCAGCGGAGCGUGUGGUUUAAUUCGACGCAACGCGAAGAACCUUACCUAGUC